UACGAAGGGGGCUAGCGUUGCUCGGAAUCACUGGGCGUAAAGGGUGCGUAGGCGGCUUUUUAAGUCGGGGGUGAAAUCCUGGAGCUCAACUCCAGAACUGCCUUUGAUACUGAGGAUCUUGAGUUCGGGAGAGGUGAGUGGAACUGCGAGUGUAGAGGUGAAAUUCGUAGAUAUUCGCAAGAACACCAGUGGCGAAGGCGGCUCACUGGCCCGAUACUGACGCUGAGGCACGAAAGCGUGGGGAGCAAACAGG
rnacentral:rRNA from 1 species